CGGCGGACGGGUGAGUAACACGUGGAUAACCUACCUAUAAGACUGGGAUAACUUCGGGAAACCGGAGCUAAUACCGGAUAAUAUAUUGAACCGCAUGGUUCAAUAGUGAAAGACGGUUUUGCUGUCACUUANAGAUGGAUCCGCGCCGCAUUAGCUAGUUGGUAAGGUAACGGCUUACCAGGCAACGAUGCGUAGCCGACCUGAGAGGGUGAUCGGCCACACUGGAACUGAGACACGGUCCAGACUCCUACGGGAGGCAGCAGAC
rnacentral:rRNA from 1 species